rnacentral:tRNA from 1 species
GGGUGAUUAGCUCAGUUGGUAGAGCAGCUGACUCUUAAUCAGCGGGUCAUAGGUUCGACUCCUAUAUCACCCACCA